rnacentral:rRNA from 1 species
CGGAGGAUCCAAGCGUUAUCCGGAUUUAUUGGGUUUAAAGGGUGCGUAGGCGGCCUGUUAAGUCAGGGGUGAAAGACGGUAGCUCAACUAUCGCAGUGCCCUUGAUACUGAUGGGCUUGAAUGGACUAGAGGUAGGCGGAAUGAGACAAGUAGCGGUGAAAUGCAUAGAUAUGUCUCAGAACACCGAUUGCGAAGGCAGCUUACUAUGGUCUUAUUGACGCUGAGGCACGAAAGCGUGGGGAUCAAACAGGAUUAGAUACCCUGGUAGUCCACGCCCUAAACGAUGAACACUCGCUGUUGGCGAUACACAGUCAGCGGCUAAGCGAAAGCGCUAAGUGUUCCACCUGGGGAGUACGCUCGCAAGAGUG